GACGAACGCUGGCGGCGUGCCUAAUACAUGCAAGUAGAACGCUGAAGGAGGAGCUUGCUUCUCCGGAUGAGUUGCGAACGGGUGAGUAACGCGUAGGUAACCUGCCUGGUAGCGGGGGAUAACUAUUGGAAACGAUAGCUAAUACCGCAUAAGAGUAGAUGUUGCAUGACAUUUGCUUAAAAGGUGCAAUUGCAUCACUACCAGAUGGACCUGCGUUGUAUUAGCUAGUUGGUGAGGUAACGGCUCACCAAGGCGACGAUACAUAGCCGACCUGAGAGGGGGAUCGGCCACACUGGGACUGAGACACGGCCCAGACUCCUACGGGAGGCAGCAGUAGGGAAUCUUCGGCAAUGGACGGAAGUCUGACCGAGCAACGCCGCGGGAGUGAAGAAGGGUUUCGGAUCGUAAAGCUCUGUUGUAAGAGAAGAACGAGUGUGAGAGUGGAAAGUUCACACUGUGACGGUAUCUUACCAGAAAGGGACGGCUAACUACGUG
rnacentral:rRNA from 1 species